UGCACCUAAUCCAAGAUUCCCCCGGCUCUUACCCCCGCUUUUAUAUUGUGACAUGUGCGGGGUAGAGUCAGAGUGGACUCCAUAUUGAAAAGUGGGAAUUCAGCGACACCAGCUGGUGUCAUGUACUGCUUUACCUACCUCUUGCAACUUUAUUUCGCGGAUCUAUCUUCCAAGACGUGAAGAUUCAGUUAUUGGAAGAUUAUUUUACAGGUAGAUCUUGAUUAAUACGAUGAUAUCGCUGUUUAAAUGGCCCUAACACCGACAAAUGAAGCAUCACUUGAAUUAGGUUGUUGCCUCGAUUGCCAUUCAAUUUCUUUGCGCCUGACAUCAGCACAUAAACACACAAAAUUCCAUUGUUUAAAUGGCAAUAACAUUGUUUUAAUCAUGAUCUAUUUGUAGAAUAAUCUUCCAAUACGUUUUGGAAGAAAGAUCCGCGAAAUGAAGUUGUAAGAUGUAGGUAAAGCAAUGACACCAGCUGCUGUCGCUGAAUUCCCACUUUUCAAUAUGGAGUCCGCUCUGACUCUCCCCUGCACAUGUCACAAAAAACAGAUUGGUCCUUUCACUAUGGUGUUCCGAAUGACAAUGAAAAGACUGAACGAUGAACGAACGGAGAGCGCACGCUGAACGCUUUGUGAACGGUGAGCGCAUGCUGAACGCUUUGUGAACGGUGAGCGCACGCUGAACGCAAAACUGUGAACGGAGAGCGCAUGGUGAACGAACGGUGAACGCACGGUGAGCAAACGGAAAAAUGGUAAAGUAGAACGUUUCAGGGACUGUAUCUCCUCAAUAUUUCGAGAAUCAAUUGCUUGAAUGACACCAAAUGUAGUACACUGGUACAUCUUCAAAACUCCCCGUCGAGGCAUCAUUAUGUCAUCUACGUAUAGACCUCGAUCUCCUAUGUGACGCAGUACAAUAUACAGAUUUCUAUAUUGCGAGUCUGCGAUUAUCAUGUGGGCAAAUAACACUAAAGAAGUAGUUCGUAGUAAAA